rnacentral:rRNA from 1 species
UAAGUUCAGCCGAUUGAAUGGGCGAAACCGCGAACGGCUCAGGAACCGGACGUAAUCCAUUAGAUCGUACCGACCCUACUUGGAUAACUGUGGCAAUUCUAGAGCUAAUACAUGCAACGAUGCUCCGACUUCUUUCGUGGAAGGAAGAGCGCUUUUAUUAGACCAAGACGAUUUAGUCUUCGUUCAUAACAAAGGCGGUCGCUGUGAUCCUAUCUCGUUCGUUUGUUCGUUAGUUCGCAAGCGUUCGAAAUCGCAAAUAUUGGUGACUCUGGAUAACUUUUGUCAGAUCGCAGGGCGUUCGCGCCGGCGACGGGUCUUUCGAACGUCCGCCCCAUCAACUUUCGACGGUCGGUUAGGCGCCGACCGUGGUGAUAACGGGUAACGGGGAUCGGGGUUCGAUUCCGGAGAGGGAGCAUGCGAAACGGCUACCACAUCCAAGGACGGCAGCAGGCGCGCAAAUUACCCAAUCCCGGCACGGGGAGUAGUGACGAAAAAUAUCGGUGCGGGUCU